UACGUAGGGGCGAGCGUUGUCCGGAAUUAUUGGGCGUAAAGAGCGUGUAGGCGGUCCGGUAAGUCCGCUGUGAAAGUCCAGGGCUCAACCCUGGAAUGCCGGUGGAUACUGCCGGGCUAGAGUCCGGAAGAGGCGAGUGGAAUUCCUGGUGUAGCGGUGAAAUGCGCAGAUAUCAGGAGGAACACCGAUGGCGAAGGCAGCUCGCUGGGACGGUACUGACGCUGAGACGCGAAAGCGUGGGGAGCAAACAGG
rnacentral:rRNA from 1 species